CACGUUAAAUUUCACUUCAAUCUUAAAAUUUAUAUAUCGCCAUCUUAAGAAUUAAUUAAAAAUAUUUUCCAAAAAAUAAAUAAAAAGUUAGGUCAAGGUGUAAUUUAUAUUAAAGAAUGAGAUGAAUUACAUUAAAUAUAAUUUCAAGCCUAUAUAUUAAUACAUUUAUACAAAUAAGAAUUUAAAAGAAAUAUUAAAACAAUAUUAUAAUAUGACAUAGACAAUAAAUGUGCACACAUCGCCC
rnacentral:rRNA from 1 species